AUUGAACGCUGGCGGCAUGCCUUACACAUGCAAGUCGAACGGCAGCACGGGUGCUUGCACCUGGUGGCGAGUGGCGAACGGGUGAGUAAUACAUCGGAACAUGUCCUGUAGUGGGGGAUAGCCCGGCGAAAGCCGGAUUAAUACCGCAUACGAUCUACGGAUGAAAGCGGGGGACCUUCGGGCCUCGCGCUAUAGGGUUGGCCGAUGGCUGAUUAGCUAGUUGGUGGGGUAAAGGCCUACCAAGGCGACGAUCAGUAGCUGGUCUGAGAGGACGACCAGCCACACUGGGACUGAGACACGGCCCAGACUCCUACGGGAGGCAGCAGUGGGGAAUUUUGGACAAUGGGCGAAAGCCUGAUCCAGCAAUGCCGCGUGUGUGAAGAAGGCCUUCGGGUUGUAAAGCACUUUUGUCCGGAAAGAAAUCCUUGGCCAUAAUACGGUCGGGGGAUGACGGUACCGGAAGAAUAAGCACCGGCUAACUACGUG
rnacentral:rRNA from 1 species